rnacentral:pre_miRNA from 1 species
GACUACAGAGACUCCUCUACUUACGAACGAGUUCGGUUCCAGAUGUCUGUUCGUAAGUCGAUUGUUCGUAAGUAAAGGAGUCCCUGUACAU